rnacentral:rRNA from 1 species
UGUUUGGAGAGUUUGAUCCUGGCUCAGGACGAACGCUGGCGGCGUGCUUAACACAUGCAAGUCGAACGAUGAGACCUUUCGGGGUUGAUUAGUGGCGAACGGGUGAGUAACACGUGGGCAACCUGCCCCCCGCUUUGGGAUAACCGCUUGAAAGGGCGGCUAAUACUGGAUGCGACCGUGUCCCGCAUGGGGCGUGGUGGAAAGGGGUCCUUUUGGAUCUUGGCGGGGGAUGGGCUCGCGGCCUAUCAGCUUGUUGGUGGGGUGACGGCCCACCAAGGCGGUGACGGGUAGCCGGCCUGAGAGGGCGAUCGGCCACACUGGGACUGAGAUACGGCCCAGACUCCUGCGGGAGGCAGCAGUGGGGAAUAUUGCGCAAUGGGCGGAAGCCUGACGCAGCGACGCCACGUGUGGGAAGGAGCGCCUAGGCGUGUAAACCACUGAGAACGGAAGAGCGCCGCGUAGGGAAAGAGAGAGUUAGACGGU